AGCAUAUAAUAAGCGGAGGAAGAGAAACUAACAAGGAUUCCCCCAGUAACGGCGAGCGAAGUGGGAACAGCUCGAGCCUGGAAUCCCCCGGUGCCAUGCACCGGAGAAUUGUGGCCCGGGAGAGGCAGAGGAGCCCGGACUGGCGCUGUCGAAGUUGACCUGGGAAGGGCACGUCAGAGAGGGUGAGAGCCCCCGUGCACGACACCGCCCAGGAUGCGUUGCCCUGCCUUCGGAGAGUCGGGUUGUUUGGGAGUGCAGCCCAAAGUGGGUGGUAAACUCCAUCUAAAGCUAAAUACUGGCACGAGACCGAUAGCGAACAAGUACCGUGAGGGAAAGGUGAAAAGUACUUUGAAAAGAGAGUCAAAAAGACCGCGAAACCGUUGGGAGGGAAACGAAUGCAGCUGAAGUGGCUCCCCGUCAGGCUCAGGAGGCGUCCACCAGGCUUCCCGCCCGCUCUCGUGAGCCGUGAGGUCACGAGGCAGGAAUUUGGGGCCGUCGACCACUCUGCACUCCUGCGGAGGUAGCCGGCCAACAGCAGUCGUCCCUGGCCCAGCAGGGUGAUCGGGUGAGGUGGCUCCGCGGUGAUGCGGAGAACUUAUAGACCGGCACCUGGAAGGUCUGGGGUGCGACUGAGGAGAGUUGCGAAUAUUUUCGCACAUUGCAGCACGGGCACCUCCCCCUGGAGGGAGGGCGGGGACUGCGCACGUCGGAUGUGCCAGCCGCGACGUGACACUGCUAGUCAGUGUCCGUGCAGCGGACCUGGCCGUCCGGAUGGGUCUUAACCCGUGUGGGAAGAACGGUCAUCCUCUCGGAACUUCGGAUUCGGCCGUGCUGAAGUUGUUGGUGUCCCGGAUGGCUGCAUCCGACC
rnacentral:rRNA from 1 species